CGUCUCAGUUGGCCAAGUGGUUAGAGCGUCAACCUCGGAAUCUGGAGGUCGCGGGUUUGAAACCCGGCCGAGUCGU